rnacentral:tRNA from 1 species
AGAACGGUGUCUGAGUGGCUUAAGGAGCCGGAUUCGAAAUCCGGUGUGCGUGCAAACGUACCGUGGGUUCGAAUCCCACCCGUUCUGC